CAUUUUCAGUGACAGAGAACCAGAAUAAGAUUUGUAGGGAAACAAGCCUUGUUACAAGGUUUGAGGGUCUCUGCUAGAAUCAUGUGGACCCCAGUGUAACAAAUCUAUGGAAAGAGAGAAAAUCUCAGCUCAAGGGUCAACAUGUCUUUAUUCCAAGAAAGAGUGUACAUAUGCCAGAAUCAUAUGGACCGCAGACUGGCCCUGGUGAUUCCGUUAAGAAAAAAGAGGAAAAAUCAGUGCUUGUGCUCAUUGGUCAUUGGACAAAGGGUGUAUGCCAGAAUUUUUUCAAGAACAGUCUGAAUCUGACAUGGAAAAAAUUAAGAAAAACAGCCUUCCUGUUUAUAAAUCUACAUUCUGACAAAGGAUCAUUUUCUUGAGAUAGGUGGAACCAACAGUCAAAUACAGACACUUCUAAGAAAAGUAAAAAUCUGGCUCAGGUAAGAAAGAAAUUCAGGAGUUCUUAAAUUGCCCUUGGAGUUCUUGGAUUGCAUCAAACGGCUAAAAGACCUCAACAAAAACAGCGUCUUGAAAAUAAAAAUGAAAAUAUUCAGUGAAAAAAAAAAUGAUGAAAGAGCCACUAAAAAUCUUCAAGCCUUUGAGCUGAAAUCUGGAAGUCAAUCUGUGGACUUUACUAGUAAGUCAUAAUUACUAAGUCAUCAUUUGUGUAUAAUAAAUACACUAAACUGUAAACACUUGUUAAAAUGUGUAUAAUUUUUAGAUAUAAUUUUUAUCUCAUAGACUUCAAUAGUUUCAUGUAAUUUAAGUAAUAAUGAAAAUUUCCUGCUGUCU